rnacentral:rRNA from 1 species
GCUGUACCAACCUGAAUGCAUCCAAUCUCAUCUAUCUCUGAAGCUAAGCAGGGUCAAGCCUGGUUAGUACUUGGGUGGGAGAAAGCUAGCAGAAAGCAAGCAGUAAGCAGCA